rnacentral:rRNA from 1 species
CACGUAGGGACCAAGCGUUGUCCGGAUUCAUUGGGCGUAAAGAGCUCGUAGGCGGUUCAGUAAGUCGGGUGUGAAACCUCCAGGCUCAACCUGGAGACGCCACCCGAUACUGCUGUGACUAGAGUCCAGUAGGGGAGCGUGGAAUUCCUGGUGUAGAGGUGAAAUUCGUAGAUAUCAGGAGGAACACCGGUGGCGAAGGCGGCCAUCUGGACGACAACUGACGCUGAGGCGCGAAAGCGUGGGGAUCAAACAGG